rnacentral:misc_RNA from 1 species
AGGAACUUACAUCCCUAUUAAGUUCGUACAAUGGGGCUACAGUCAACGUUCUCUUUUUCAUUUUUGAGAGUUAGUUAAUUUAUUAAUAUAUUUUUUUAAAUGUAAACUGUAAAUUAGAUUGGAUAUUAAAAAUCAUGAUCUGAAGAGGGUUAGUGAUAACUGGACUCCUUUUUUUUGAGUCAAAGAAAAGGAGUCCAGUUAUCAC